rnacentral:rRNA from 1 species
UACGUAGGGUGCAAGCGUUGUCCGGAAUUAUUGGGCGUAAAGAGUUCGUAGGCGGUUUGUCGCGUCCGUUGUGAAAGCUUGGGGCUCAACCCCAGGUCUGCAGUGGAUACGGGCAGGCUAGAGUCAGGUAGGGGAGAACGGAAUUCCUGGUGUAGCGGUGAAAUGCGCAGAUAUCAGGAGGAACACCGGUGGCGAAGGCGGCCUGCUGGGCAGUAGCUGACGCUGAAGCGCGACAGCGUGGGGAGCAAACAGG